CCAGAAUUAGAUAGGAUAAUAUAGGAAAGGGAGAGCCCUGUAAACUGUAAAGAGUUUCACACAUAUAGUUGGCAUUACCAUCAUUGUUGCUAUAUUGUCCUUUUCCAGUCCUGACUAACCCCCUAUUUCAGCUCUUCCUCAUUUCUCGAGCUCUUUUUUCAUAUUUACAGACCAUGCCCCCCUUGUCUCUUGCUUCUUUCGGACCCACUUCCAUGAGGCAGAAAAGCCUGGCCACUGCUCCGUGUGACCCUCUUCUCCCUUCCUCUUACUCAGUUUUCAGGUCAGUCUUUAGUGGCCAUCAAUGAUGACAGCUGGCUGGAGCAACUCAUCAAGGUUGUCUUGGAGAGGAUAAAUUAUUUCAGCGAUGGUGAGGAGAAGACUUUUCUAUAUAAAUUCUUUGGAUUUACCCUGCGGACUUCAAGGAAUAUGAAACUGGUGAAGAUGAUGCUCUUAUCCAUCUUACAAAGUGUCCACGAAGACCUGCAGGAGAGGCAGGAAGCUCCGUCCCCUCAUAGAGGUGGAAGAAAGAACAGAGCUGCUCCGAACAUGCUAUAAGAGUGUGCUCUGCCUGCCACCUAUAGAAGUUUUGCAGAAGGAGGCAUCCAGUUCCCAGGAG
rnacentral:lncRNA from 1 species